AGUGAACGCUGGCGGUAGGCCUAACACAUGCAAGUCGAACGGCAGCACAGUAAGAGCUUGCUCUUACGGGUGGCGAGUAGCGGACGGGUGAGGAAUACAUCGGAAUCUACUUUUUCGUGGGGGAUAACGUAGGGAAACUUACGCUAAUACCGCAUACGACCUACGGGUGAAAGCAGGGGAUCUUCGGACCUUGCGCGAUUGCAUGAGCCGAUGUCGGAUUAGCUAGUUGGCGGGGUAAAGGCCCACCAAGGCGACGAUCCGUAGCUGGUCUGAGAGGAUGGUCAGCCACACUGGAACUGAGACACGGCCCAGACUCCUACGGGAGGCAGCAGUGGGGAAUAUUGGACAAGGGGAGCAAGCCUGAGCCAGCCAUACCGCGUGGGUGAAGAAGGCCUGCGGGUUGUAAAGCCCUUUUGCUGGGAAAGAAAAGCAGCAGGUUAAUACCCCGCUGUUCGGACGGUACCCAAAGAAUAAGCACCGGCUAACUUCGU
rnacentral:rRNA from 1 species